CUAUACGGGAGGCAGCAGUGGGGAAUAUUGCACAAUGGGCGCAAGCCUGAUGCAGCCAUGCCGCGUGUGUGAAGAAGGCCUUAGGGUUGUAAAGCACUUUCAGUAAGGAGGAAAGGUUAGUAGUUAAUACCUGCUAGCUGUGACGUUACUUACAGAAGAAGCACCGGCUAACUCCGUGCCAGCAGCCGCGGUAAUACGGAGGGUGCGAGCGUUAAUCGGAAUUACUGGGCGUAAAGCGUACGCAGGCGGUUUGUUAAGCGAGAUGUGAAAGCCCCGGGCUCAACCUGGGAACUGCAUUUCGAACUGGCAAACUAGAGUAUGAUAGAGGGUGGUAGAAUUUCAGGUGUAGCGGUGAAAUGCGUAGAGAUCUGAAGGAAUACCGAUGGCGAAGGCAGCCACCUGGGUCAAUACUGACGCUCAUGUACAAAAGCGUGGGGAGCAAACGGGAUUAGAUACCCCGGUAGUCCACGCCGUAAACGAUGUCUACUAGGAGCUGGGGUCUUCGGACAACUUUUUCAAAGCUAACGCAUUAAUUAGACCGCCU
rnacentral:rRNA from 1 species